rnacentral:rRNA from 1 species
ACGGGUGAGUAACGCGUGGGAACGUACCUUUUGGUUCGGAACAACUGAGGGAAACUUCAGCUAAUACCGGAUAAGCCCUUACGGGGAAAGAUUUAUCGCCGAAAGAUCGGCCCGCGUCUGAUUAGCUAGUUGGUGAGGUAAGAGCUCACCAAGGCGACGAUCAGUAGCUGGUCUGAGAGGAUGAUCAGCCACACUGGGACUGAGACACGGCCCAGACUCCUACGGGAGGCAGCAGUGGGGAAUAUUGGACAAUGGGCGCAAGCCUGAUCCAGCCAUGCCGCGUGAGUGAUGAAGGCCCUAGGGUUGUAAAGCUCUUUUGUGCGGGAAGAUAGUGACGGUACCGCAAGAAUAAGCCCCGGCUAACUUCGUGCCAGCAGCCGCGGUAAUACGAAGGGGGCUAGCGUUGCUCGGAAUCACUGGGCGUAAAGGGUGCGUAGGCGGGUCUCUAAGUCAGGGGUGAAAUCCUGGAGCUCAACUCCAGAACUGCCCUUGAUACUGAGGAUCUUGAGUUCGGGAGAGGUGAGUGGAACUGCGAGUGUAGAGGUGAAAUUCGUAGA